UUUGUUAUUAGUGUGUAAUUUUACUCAUUUUGUUCCUUAGUCUCAAACCGAUAGAAUUGGUUCCCUAAAUUAUUUUAUUUAGAACAAAGAUGAAAAUGUCCUUUUACAAACCUCUCCACUAAAAAAGCUCUGAAAUAAAGUAAACAGUAACAGUAGCAGUUUUAUAAAAUUUUCUUAUUUAUAGGUUGCAUUUGGUUACAAAAAAAGCGCAGAUGAAGGAGGCAAGAAAGGCGGAGCAUGUAAAUGAAUAUUGCAAACUUUCAGCAUAAGAAAGAAUAAGUGAAAAGGCCCACAAUUUACUUCCGAAGAUGGUUUACGACCAAUGAAGAAAAUUAUUUAGCAAGACAAAAUGUUUGUAAACAGAACCUAGCGUUGAUGGUAACAGUUGUGACGAAAUAACAGUGUUUCCGAUUCCAAGACCUUACUAUCUCUAUAACUAAAUGGUAAUGGACCUCUUUCCUGUCUUCAAAGUUAAUGAAGAAGAAAAGGUAACUAAAAUUGUCUACCACCCAACUUAAUAAAUGGUGAGAAGGCGAUUCUGGUCCUUGUUUAUUUACUGUGAAAGGUAGGAGAAGUCUAAGUUUAAAACAAAUGAGAUAGUAAACAUUUAAGAAUCGAGAUAAGUGAUGAAUUUUUGGAUGUUUUUACCGUUUUGUAUUUAAAUUGAAAUACAUUGUAAUUGCAUAAAUCAUUUUUAAUAAAACUGUACAUGAUUAUA